AAUCAACGCUGGCGGCGUGCCUAAUGCAUGCAAGUCGCACGGGAGCCCUUUCGGGGGUCGACCGUGGCGGACGGGUGCGGAACGCGUCGCUGACCUGCCCCGACCCGGGGGAGUAGUCGCCGGAAACGGCGCGCAAUACCCCACUGGCGUCGUCUGGAGGGAUCUGGACGACGAAAGGCUUCGGCCGGGUUGGGAGGGGCGGCGGCCGGAUUAGCUGGAUGGCGGGGUAACGGCCCGACCAUGGCGAUGAUCCGAGCUGGUCUGAGAGGACGAUCAGCCACACGGGGACUGGAGACACGGCCCCGAC
rnacentral:rRNA from 1 species